ensembl:lncRNA
UAGAGGGGCUGGACUGAGGGCAGUAUGUCUGUAAAGAGGCUGGGCUGAAGGCAGUAUGUCUGUAGAGAGGAUGGGCUGAGGGCAGUAUGUCUGUAGAGAGGCUGGGCUGAGGGCAGUAUGUCUGUAGAGAGGCUGGGCUGAGGGCAGUAUGUCUGUAGAGAGGAUGGGCUGAGGGCAGUAUGUCUGUAGAGAGGCUGGGCUGAGGGUAGUAGAAUAUCUGUAGAGAGGCUGGGCUGAGGGCAGUAUGUCUGUAGAGAGGAUGGGCUGAGGGCAGUAUGUCUGUAGAGAGGCUGGGCUGAGGGCACUAUGUCUGUAGAGAGGCUG